CUUUAUAAACACUCACGUACACAUAUUCUAGAAUUGAAAAAAGAUAUUUUCCAAUAAUAUUUGCACGCCAGAUUUUAUGGACUCUUACGAAAUACGCGGGAAAGUAUAUUUCUAGACGUCAAAACGCAGCUCAACGUUAAUUCUUAAAAAGAAUCGUUAGAAUCUUGUCGUGUGACUUAUGUUUUUAUACAAGUUAUAAUUUCUUAUUUCUUGUCAACAAUGAUGCUUUUUGAUUGGCUAAUUUUCAUUUGGAUUUAAUUCGUAAUUGGUAGGAUUGAUUUCGCGAAUCAAUUAAGUAACCGGAACGGUAGUUAGCGCCAUCUUCGGAGAAUUUUUUAAGCUAACGAUCGUCUUUUGUUUUAUAUCCUUUCUUCCGGACGACUCGAAGCAGAUUUGAAAUAGUCUUCCAAAUUUUUUAAUUCUUUUUCUUACAAACAGAGAAAUGUGUUGAAGAAAUCGUCGAGAUUCCAAUCAUUCGAAGUGAAAAUGGCGUAAACGUGGAACGAUCGUUAAUCAUUUUCGCAGUUAAUAUUUCUUGAAUCCUUGAAGAUAUCAUCGAUCUUCUUUUCCUAAUGAUUUAAGUAUGUUAGAUAAGAUAAUUGAAUCUAUUAUCAGGUUACAUUCGACCUUUUUCUUUCUUUUUUUCUUUUCUAAUACGUUCCUCUCAAAUUUCAAGACACGAGGAGGGUUCGUUCGGAAAGUUUGAAAAGCUGGAAGUGGAUACCGGAAUUUUUUGUUAGAAGAAGAAGGAAAAGGAGAGAAAGAAAAAGAAGAGGAAGGAAAAAAAGAAGGUAUAGAAGAAGAGGAAGGAACUAAACUAUGAAUCAGAGGAAUAAUUUCCUACUCUCGUCAUAUGGAAUUUAUUUGACUCAUGACUAUAGUUCACCUUGGAAUAUAGUAUUCACCGAAGCAACGAUUUGUUAGAAACUGAUGAAGCUGAUAAAGUUGGUGUCCGAGAUCUCUACAAAAAAAGAAUAAAGAAAAUGAACACAUUUUGGAAGAAUUCAAAAAUUCUUGGGGAAAAGAAAAAUACAGAAAGAAGACAGAAUUUAGCGAUUACAAAAGAAAAUCAUAUUUUCCUUUUUUUGGGGAGAAAAAGAAAAAGGAAGAAGAAAUAAGGGAUGGCCUUAUGAAAAAAGUGCUUGGAAAACGGACAAGACGAUUUCUUUGAGAUUAGACGACGACGACGACGACGACGACGUUGACGACGUUAACGUCGACAUCGACGAUGAAGACUACGAUGAAGACUCCGACGAGCAAUAAUCUGAAGCUGUUUCUCUAAGAAAUGCACCCUCUCCCUCCCCUCGUUCUCCUUUUACCCCUUAAACGACCCUCUCUCCCAAAAGAAGAGGGCAGAGAAAGAAAAAAAGAAGAAGGAGAAGAAAAAAAGGAAGAAGCUUUCUAUCGUGUUCCUUUUUUCGACUCGUUUGCCUAUAUCAUAGUAAUAACGAGCAAGUUCCUGGAGAGAGCAUAAGUGUGAUAAAAAGAUAAAAGCAUGCUUGAUAAAAACGUAUUGCUUCCUUGGAAUGUUAAAAAGAAAAAGAAAGAUGGAAAAUGUGUACAUAUGUGAUACGUGCAAGUUUAAUAGGCUGUUUUUCUUUUUCCCUGUCUUUCUUUUUGUCUUUCUCACAUUUUACUCUUAUGACAAUGAUGAGUAGAGGAUAAACGAAGACAGAGAUAGAGACUGCUCUUACGUGAAAAACGAGAAAUUAUGCCGACGAUAAAGAAUAUAGGAUAAACGAAGAGAAAAGAGGACUAGAUAUAUCACAUCAAGAUUUAAAAUAGUAAUUUAUUUGUCCAUCUUAUUCGAUUGUCUUUAACGAAAUAAUUUCUUACAUAUGUUACUUCUUACAUAAAGGAUAAACAAAGAAAGAGUUAGAUAUAUUGCUCUUAUGUAAAAAGCAUAUGGAACUUUCUCUCUCUCUUACCUUUACUGACAACAAUGAACGCAGGAUAAAUGAGAAGAGAAAGAGAGAGAUAGAUAUAAACUAUUUCUAUAUGUGAAGCAUCCGGAACUUUCUCUCUUUUUUUCUCUUUUGAUCCUCUACUGGAUCCUCUUGAUGAAAACGAGUCUAAUCACAUACGAUCGUACAAUAGAUCUAUUCGAACAAAAGUAUUAAUCAACAAAAGAAAUAUUAAUCGUUUCAUUCCAGUUAUAUCUUAUUAAGAUUGAAUACAUGGAAAGUAAAAAAACAAUGAGGUUAAAUAUACAAAAAGGUCGUGUUAAUUAAACUCGAUAAUUUCGAGAAAAUAUUCAGACGGAGUAAGCUUUAAGUGCAUACAUGAACGUUCCUAAAAUGUUCAAAUUGAAGUCGAAGGUCUAUUAUGUGGAUUCACGGAUAUGACUCAAGUUUAACGCAAGUAUUAAACGCUUAAUCGGUUCUAACGAAGAACGGGUUAUCUACUGAUCGAACGUUAGCGCGUUCUUGUUUUCUAAUGUAUUUUCCACGUAUUUUAACGACGAGAGUAUCACGUAUGAGUGUCACGCAAAGCUCUUUUUCUUUCUACGAAAAACGAAUAAAAAACGAACGAAGGAGGAAAAGAAAAAAAAAAAAAAAGAAAUAGAAAAAAGAAGGAAAAGAAAGAAUGAAAGGAGGAAAGAAAAAUGAACGAACAAGAGGGUGGUUCUCGUAAAAUUGUAGUAGUGUCGAUGGUGGAUAGAAUUGAUACGAUGGUGGUGUUUGUGGUGGUGGUGAUGUUGAUGGUGGUGACAGCAGGGUCGUUCCGUGUACAUACGUUAUAAAGUGAAAGCAACAAGCACCGUUCGAGUUCUUCGAAAUCGAUCGGUAAUUUCCGGGGAGAGGUGACUUCACUCAGGGAUUCCAUCGAAGUCACGCUUUCUCGUUUCGUUUAAUAUACAUGUGUAUAAUGUACACGUGUGUAAGUAUAUAAUCCCACGAUAUAAAGUGACGAAGAAAUAUCAAAGUACUUUUCUACGUAAAUGUUCACAAAAACCUGAAGGAAAAGGCUGGACUACGACUUUAUGGGAUUCGUUAUCACCGGAAGGAACGUUAACUAGAACACUAAUAAGAAUAUCUAAAACAGAAGCUUGAGAGAGUAGAGAUUGGAAUAAUCAGAGGUCAAAUGUCAACGCGGAUGUGUAAUUCCCCCUUCCGUAUUGACACGGUGGAGUUACACGGUAAAAUGUACAAGGGUUAGAACUUUACACUUUCUGUAGUUAUGAGGACUUUUAAAUCACGUACAAGUGUCCUCUUCUUUUGAAGAAACAAAGAAAGAAAAAAAGGAAGAAAUAGAGAAAACAAAAAAGAAACAAGAAAGAAAGAAAUAAAGUGCGAGUUGAGGGAUGUCAACUAAGAGAAGGGUAAACACAACAA